GAUGGACCCGCGACGCAUUAGCUAGUUGGUGAGGUAACGGCUCACCAAGGCGACGAUGCGUAGCCGACCUGAGAGGGUGAUCGGCCACACUGGGACUGAGACACGGCCCAGACUCCUACGGGAGGCAGCAGUAGGGAAUCUUCCGCAAUGGACGAAAGUCUGACGGAGCAACGCCGCGUGAGUGAUGAAGGUUUUCGGAUCGUAAAACUCUGUUGUUAGGGAAGAACAAGUACCGGAGUAACUGCCGGUACCUUGACGGUACCUAACCAGAAAGCCACGGCUAACUACGUGCCAGCAGCCGCGGUAAUACGUAGGUGGCAAGCGUUGUCCGGAAUUAUUGGGCGUAAAGCGCGCGCAGGCGGUUCUUUAAGUCUGAUGUGAAAGCCCACGGCUC
rnacentral:rRNA from 1 species